CAGUCGCCACGGGAAAACGAGUGGGGCAAGCGUUGUUCGGAAUUAUUGGGCGUAAAGGGUGCGUAGGCGGUUUGAUAAGUCAUCUGUGAAAUCUUCAGGCUCAACUUGAAGUCUGCAUGGGAAACUGCGGGGCUGGAGUAUGGGAGAGGAGAGUGGAAUUCCACGUGUAGCGGUGAAAUGCGUAGAGACGUGGAGGAACACCAGUGGCGAAGGCGACUCUCUGGUCUGUAGCUGACGCUGAGGAGCGAAAGCGUGGGGAGCGAACAGGAUUAGAUACCCCAGUAGUCCCUGUCUCUUAUAU
rnacentral:rRNA from 1 species